rnacentral:rRNA from 1 species
UACGGAGGAUGCGAGCGUUAUCCGGAUUUACUGGGUGUAAAGGGCGUGUAGGCGGGACUGCAAGUCAGAUGUGAAACCCAUGGGCUCAACCCAUGGCCUGCAUUUGAAACUGUAGUUCUUGAGUGAUGGAGAGGCAGGCGGAAUUCCGUGUGUAGCGGUGAAAUGCGUAGAUAUACGGAGGAACACCAGUGGCGAAGGCGGCCUGCUGGACUGUAACUGACGCUGAGGCAUGAGAGCAUGGGGAGCAAACAGG